CACAUUUUGGUCUGUUCCUUGGGCAAGCAUGGGGGGAAACUUAGGGUUUUGGGGGUUCCCCAUGGAUAGGUUUGUGACAGAGUAUGAGGGGGUCUGUGAGAAAUGUUUCUAGUUUACAGUAGUCUGUUGAUCCACCGCUAUUACAGGAUCAAAUUGCAGUUGCAUAGAAAAAUGUCUAAGGAUGGUUCCACUGAAGUAUAGCAGCUUUUUAAUUGUCUUGAUACCACUGAAAUCACUUUGCUGAUGGUAACAACAGUAGGAAGUUACAGGCUUUUUAAAGGAUUAGCAUAUACUAGAUAUAUAUCAAACAAGACACCCUAAUACUACAUGGUCUGAUGCACCAUGUUUGGGUUUAAUUGGUACCUGAGAGCUUCCUUUCAAUUAUGCUAUGUAAUUAUUUUGUAUUUACCAAUGAGGAUCAGUCUGACACUUACCAAUGCUAACAUCACCGUUUCCUUCCUCUGAAGAAAGUUCAGGGACUGGAGACAGGCCUGUUGAGAGUCUCUGGGUUAGAGUCAGAGGGGAGAGCAACAAGGGGGAUGUGGUGCUGGGGGUCUGCUACAGACCACCAGACCAGGAGUAAGUGGUGGAUGAAACUUUCUUCAGACAUCUACUGGAAGCUUCCCAAUCACAGGCCCUGACUCUCAUGGGGGACUUCAAUCACCCUGACAUCUGCUGGGAGGGCAAUACAGCAGUGCACAGGCAAUCAAAGUUUUUGGAGACUACUGGGGACACCUUCCUGGUGCAAAUGCUGGAGCAGCCAACUAGGAGCCAUGCUCUUUUUGACCUGCUGCUCACAAACAGAAGAAUUGGUGGGGAAUGCAGUAGUGGAUGGCAACUUGGGCAGCAGUGACCACAAGAUGAUUGAGUUCAGGAUCUGAGGAAAGGAAGGAUGGAGAGCAGCAGAGUAAGGACCUUGGACUUUGGAAAAGCAGACUGACUCACUUGGGGAACUCAUGGGCAGGGUCCCCUGGGAAACCAGUCUGAGGGGGAGAGGGGUCCAGGAGAGCUGGCUGUACUUGAUAGAAGCCUUACUGGGAGGCUAGGAACAAACUAUCCCGAUGUGCAGGAAGACUAGUAAGUAUGGCAGAAGACCAGCUUGACUUAAACGUUUCAGUAAACUAAAUCACAGGAAGCUUAUAAAAAGUGGAAACUUGACGAAAUAACUAGGGAAGAAUAUAAAACCAUGGUUUGGGCAUGCAGGGAUGAAGUCAGGAAGGCCAAACUGCAAUUGGGAGUUGCCGCUAGCAGGGGAUGCAAAGGGGAACAAGAAGGGUUUCUACAAGUAUGUCGGUAGCAAGAGGAGGAUCAGGGAAAGAGUGGGUCUCUUACUGAAUGGGGGAGGCAACCUGGUGACAGAGGAUGCAGAAAAGGCUGAAGUGCUCAAUGCAUUUUUUUGCCUCAGUCUUCACAGGCAAGGUCAGCUCCCAGACUACUGCACUGGGCAGCACCGUCUGGGGAGGAGCUGAGCAGCUCCCAGUGGUGAAAGAAGAGGUUAGGGUAAACUUAGAAAAGCUGGACAUGUACAAAUCCAUGGGGCCGGAUGGGAUGCACCCGCAGGUGCUGAGGGAGUUGGCUGAUGUGAUUGCAGAGUCAUUGGCCAUCAUCUUUGAAAACUCAUGGCAAUCGGGAGAGGUCCCAGAUGAUUGGAAAAGGGCAAACAUAGUACCCAUAUUUAAGAAAGGGAAAAAGGAGGAUCCAGAGAACUACAUACCAGUCAGCCUCACCUCAGUCCCUGGAAAAAUCAUGGAGCAGAUCCUCAAGGAAUCCAUUUCUAAGCACUUGGAGGAGAAGAAGGUGAUUAGGAACAAACAGCAUGCAUUCACCAGGGGCAAGGCAUGCCCGACCAACCUGAGUGCCUUCUAUGAUGAGAUGACUGGCUCUGUGGAUGUAGGGAGACCAGUAGAUGUGGUGUAUCUCGAUUUUAGAUAGGCUUUAGAUGUGGUCUCCCACAGCAUCCUCACAGGCAAGCUAAGGAAGUAUGGGCUGAAUGGAUAGACUGUAAGGUGGAUAGAAAACUGCCUGGCGCAUCGGGGUCAGAGAGUAGUAAUCAAUGGCUCCAUGUCUAGUUGGCAGCUGGUAUCAAGUGAAGUGCCCCAGGGGUUGGUCCUGGGGCUGGUUUUGUUUAAUGUCUUCAUCAACCACCUGGAAGAUGGCAUAGAGUGCAUCCUCAGUUUGCAGAUGACACCAAGCUGGGGGGAAUAAUAGAUACACUGGAGGGUAGGGCUAGUAUUCAGAGUGACCUAGGCAAAUUGGAGGAUUGGGCUAAAAGAAAUCUGAUGAGGUUCAACAAGGACAAGUGCAAAGUCCUGCACUUAGGAUGGAGCAAUCCCAUGCACCGGUACAAGCUGGGGCUGACUGGCUGGGCAGCAGCUCUGCAGAAAAGGACCUGAGGGUGACAGUGGACAAUAAGCUGAACAGGAGCCAGCAGUGUGCCUUUGUUGCCAAGAAGGCUAAUGGCAUCCUGGGCUGCAUUGGUAGGAACAUUGCCAGCAGAUAAAGGGAAGUAAUUCUUCUCCUCCUUUCAGCAUGGGUGAGCCCACAUCUGGAGUGCUGUGUUCAGUUUUGGACCCCCCACUACAGAAGGGACGUGGACAAAUGGGAGAGAGUCCAGCAGAGGGCAACAGAAAUGGUGAGGGGGUUGGGGAACAUGACUAAAGAGGAAUGACUGAGGGAACUGACCUUAUUUAGAGAAGAGAAGACUAAGGGGCUUUUUAAUAGCUUUCAACUACCUGAAGGGGCGUUCAAAAGAGGAUGGAGCUGGACUGUUCUCAGUGGUGGCAGAUGACAGGACAAGGAGCAAUGGGCUCCAGUUGCAGGAAGGGAAGUUGAGGUUAGAUAUUAGGAAGAAUUUUCUCACUAGGAGGGUAGUAAAACACUGGAACAGGUUACCCAGAGAGGCGGUGGAAGCUCCAUCCUUGGAGGUUUCCAAAACCUGGGUAGACAAAGCUUUGGCUGGGAUGAUGUAGUUGGGGCUGGUCCUGCUUUGAGCAGGGUGUUGGAUUAGAUGUGACCUCCAGAGGUCCCUUCCAGCCCUCACUUUCUAUGAUUCUGUGACCCAACCAUUGCCUUUCAGUUUUGCUUCAUAGCUCUACAGUAAUCAUGGUCUGACUUGUGUGCAUGUCUUUCAAGAAAUGCCUCCGGUAGUGCUGAGGAGACUCUUGCUGGUUUAAGUAGCCUACAAUUUACCUUUAUUACUGAUUGUCUUGACCUGCUGAAGUCACCAUAAACCUGGAGAGGCAAGAAACAAAUACUGACAAAUCCAUAAUGGAAUAUACAAAAAAGAUUUUUUUUAAAAGGGAUCACUUCCAUUUUUCUUGUUCCAAAAUACCACAAUGGUUCGUGUGCUGAAAAAUAUCAGAGGGCAACAGAUGCUUGUUUGUAUUAUAGUAGCGCACAUGAACCUCUACCAGGUUCGUUUAGUACUCGACUGCAGACAUGUUGAAGGGUCAGGAAGGGGCAGCAAGUAUAAGAAAUAGACAAGCCAGGUUGUGGUUGGCUUGGCAGAUUGAAAUAACACAAAGUAGAGGUGUGUAAUGUUAGGUCACACUUUUUCUAAUCAAUGUCCAUUGACUGCUUAAAAAGAAAUAAUUAAAGAAAGCCUCUGAAUUAUUUAGCUCCUUUUUUCACUACAGAUGUUCAAACUAACAGACAAAUAUGUACUGAAACCAUUGUGAUUAUAAAGGAAAAUUAGGGUAACUAAUUUGCCAAAACUGAUACACCAAGUUCCACCAUAAUGUGAUUUUUAAACCAGACAACUCAUGAACCCAAUUAUUGGGGAUUAGACUAGAAAUGCUUACUGAAUCUUAACUAGAGUUGGAAUUUGGAGGAGACAGAGAGACAGAGAGAGAAUGAGAAUUAAAAUGACCUAUCUUGUUUCUGCUUAAUUACAGAAAAAGGAAAUGAUGCAGAAACUUUAAAUAGUGAAAAAAAUCAUUAGGUUUCUACAGCCUGUGUCUAAGCAUAUAUUUAAAUGGGCUUUAUGUUUCAGUAUGGUAUUUAAAAUGUAAUUAAAAUAUUAAAUAUAUGUUUGCUUAAUUUUUUAAAACAAACUUUUUUUUUCUCAAGGCUUUUCUGGGAAGAGAUUUUUUUUAAAGUUCCAAAAGGGCUGUUGUGUGUGGCUGGUAUCUUUCAUUGGACCAACCGAAUGGUUGGGUUAGACUCAGACGAACUUUCAAAAGUCCGUGCCAACCAUACAGUUGCUCCAGUAAAAAGUAUCGCCCAUAGAAAUCCUUGCCAUUCAAGUUUGAAUGGUGUAUGUGUUCAAAGUAAACAUCAGUCAUUAGAUCACUGAUAUCUCCAGUUCUCUGGCCCAGGUGAGGUUUAUAUGCUACUUAAAAUACAAACUAUACUCAAGAAAAGGGAAUACAUCCAGCUUGGUGUAGGUUCUUAUGCUUUUUUUCCCCACUACGAAGUAGGUUUUUACAUUGCUGUAUGCAGGUUUAUGUUCCUUAUCACCCAGGGCAGGGCUGUCUAACUUCUUAGCAGCCAGGGGCCUCACCAGCAGGUCCCUUGGCACCAUGGAGGUAUACAGCUCCCCCCCACCACUGCAUGGUGCAUGGAGGUCUUCCCCUGCUGCCUGGGUGGGUGGCUGCCCUGCCUAACUGCAGUAUCGCACGAGUGGGUGCUCCUUCUCACCACCUCCUUGGCUGCAGGCUCCCCCAGUGCAUCAAGCCAUGGCCAGGAGUAGGGGCAGGAAGUGAAAGCUGGAGGAGGGAGGAGAAGCCUGGAGACCCCGCAGCAGCCAAAGCAAUGAGUGGAGCAGUCGCUAGUGAGAUUGUUCACUGCAUGUCUGUACAUAGCAUGUAGAGCUGUCACACAAGCCCCAUCCCCUGCUUUUAAAGGUCAUAAUUAAGGUUCCACAGUGAAGCACUCAAAUGUUAGGAGGUGGCAGAAUGAACAGCCCCAGUCUGAUUCAGCACACAAUAUGGCUUACGCUUUUUGUGCAAGCAGAUCUUCAGUAUUCUGCUUUGCCCUCAUUCAGUGUGUAGCCCCAUGCCUUAUGUAUUACACAUGCUCAGUGCCUGCUUUGAAUACAGAAUUAUCAAUUUCCUCAACAGGUUGUUUUAUUUUUGUGUGGUGUUCAUCUCUAUAGCAUAGGAAUACUUCACAGGCAUUAAUUAAUUUAUCUUCAAAAAGCCUCCAAGAUGAGGAGCUAUUACCGUCUCCACAGUGUAGAUAUGGAACUGAGCCACAGAGCCGUUCAUUUCAAAUGUCUGCUGAUAUUUGAAUGUCCAGCUUGAGACGCCUGUGGCCCAAAUCCUGCCUGCCACAGGAAUACUUUGAGUUCAAUAGCACUUUAUUUGUCAAGACCACUGCGCCUAUUAUUUUGGCCAAUUGAAUACCACCCAGAAGAACUGACCAAAUUUGGUCAUGAUUGUUGCUUCUUGGGCACUCAGAACAUGGCAAUGAGUGGCGUCCAUACAAUGCUUGGUUCACAUGAGAUGUCUGGCUUCGCACUGGAUCUCUGGAGGACAAGAAGAGAUGAGAAUUCAGUCCUUCAGGGUGGUAUUCAAGCUUGCUGUCUAUGAACUUCACAUCCCAGUUCCUUCUUUUCAUACCAUUGCUUCAAACCUGACCCUUGUGUCAGUCUCCCUCGAUUCCUUUUUUUUUUUUUUUUCCUCCCUCCCUUCCUCAGAUGCAGAAGUCCUCGGAGAUAAGGAGAGGCUGGUUUCCUGUUCCCAGUCCAUGUGCCUGGUGCCAUAACUGUUGGCUGGCAAGAGAAACAAGUGCAAGAAGAAUAACAAAAGGUGCAUCCCCGACGCAGCUCCCAGGCAAAUUGCAAAUUCCUACUUCAAAAAGAUGGAGGUCCUUAAGACUCAUAGUGGGUAUAGUGUUUUUUCCCUUUUUUUUAAACCCUACAUUUUUCUUUUCCUUCCAUCUUGUUCUGAGAAAUACUUGUAUGAUUUUUACUGAAAUAAUAAAAAUUACAGAAAAUUCCAUUAUGAAUGACUUAUGUUUUGGGAAAGUUAUAAGCAGCUGAAAAUAUGGGUCUUCUGGGAAGUGUUGGGUAUCCUGAACCAGCAUAGCUGCCUGCCUCUAUGUGCUGCCUUUAUUGACUAAUCUUGCAAGGCUGAAUUUGUAACCAGGAACUGCAGUUUGUUGUGGGAUUAUUUUGUUUCAGAGCAGCACAACCACCUCUGUGUAGAUGUGAUCGAUGUUAGAAUAACAUUGAAAUGUCUGGCAUUGUGUACGGUGUAGCUGUGGACUAGUAGGGGGCCAGAGCAAAUGUUAAUGUGAGAAGAGCAUUCAAAUAGAACAAACGAGGAGAAAAACAGGUUGGUUAAUACAGAACAAUGAUAUGCGUGCUCUUAAAUAGUUUUUUCUCUUCUGUCCCAGAAGCAAAUGCAGCUGAGGAUCUGAGUAUGAAACAAGUAUGAUUUGAGGCCAAAUCAAGUGGCCAGCAUAACACAUUUUACUUUGAAAACCUGUUAAAUAAGGUAUAACAUGAGCAAUUUGCACAUCCUUGAGGUGCACAUUUCUAUACUUAAGUCAUUGUUAAAUUCCCCUUGAUCAAUCCCAUUUUUUAUCUACUCUGAUGGGGGUGGGGGCGGUAUGUGUUUGUACACAGAUAUAUACAAACUAUCGCUGCUUGAUUUUGAUGCAUCAUAGAAAGGUGAGUUGAAAGAAAAGACUUGUAUUAUCUCGUUUGCAGAAAAUUCAUUAAUAAGGACAACCUAAAAUGUUUGCCUGUCAUGACUAAAUGUGUAGCUGUGUUGUUCAUAGCAACCAUGCCAUUUUACUUCUGAUUUACAAGGUGAUUUGUAUGUAAAUAGCCUUUACUAAACUCUAGGCUCAGUAUGGUUUUGUGGAAGAAGAUGUAUAUGUGCAUUGGGAACAAACCAAGUCUUGACUAUUAGCAUAUCGCACUGGAUUUUUUUCCCUAUUGAAUGUGUCUGGGCUUUAUUUAUUAGUGCAUCACUGAACGUCAUUUCCCGCAGACCAUGUUUAAAAUGUCAGAGAGGAAUAAAAUCACCAUUAAAAAACAUAGUUCUGCCAAGUGAAGGAUAAAGACUUGAUUGGGAUGCCAAUAGCCAUCAUUUUCCAAGGUCCAGCUUCAUUAUUUGGGUGAAAUUGUAGUCUUAUUGAAGUCAAUGUCAAUAGGGCCUGGCUCUUAUGUGACAAUAUUUUUUUUCUCUAUCUCAUCAUGCUUGCUUGGUCUCUUGCACUUCUGCCUUGAUAUACUUAUUAUUGUUGAUGUAGCCCAUUUAGGCAUGCACCCCACUGUGCCAGGUCUGUAUUUGAUUUAGUUCACUGUUUUACCCAGGAGCUAAACAUUAAGCAUUUGCCUGCUUUAGUGGAACCUCCAUCUUGAAGAGUAGGAAGGUUUAUAGAUACUUUUAGUAUCCCACUACUGAAUGGCUUAUGUCAGAUAACUGAGUUCAAGCAGUACUGGUGAUACAAAGAGCAUUCAUUUCAAACACAGCGUAUUUGGGUGUCAUUCAAAAACGCAGCUGAAUAGAUGGAGAAGUACACUGCUCUCUGAAAAUAACUUAGAAAGCUGACAAACUUAUUCAGUGGUUUACAAACACCGCUACUAGCCGAAUGUUCACAAAGUGUCCAUCUGAGACCAUUAUUUCUGAUCGGGUACUUUGUAUGAAUAAAGUAGCUUCUGUAUUCAUUCCAAUGCUCUGUUCUGCUGCCAUUCUUAAUCUCUCACCAUCAUUGCUUGUUGCUCCUUGUCUUCUCUUUUCUUUUCUUUCUUUAAAGAAAGGCAAAACAAAUAUCUAUUGAAGAGGACUGAAAAUCCAUAUUGGCAGAGAAUUUAACCCCAGAUAGUAAACCCAAAAGGACACACAGUUUCAUGUUAUUUGCCUGUGUUAAUGAGAAUAAGAAACCUUGGGGUUCAAAAAAUAGAAACUGUUUGUAUUUCAUCAGUGACAAAACAGUCAUUUCUUGAUAUCCCAAAAUAAUUUCUACUCACUGGCUUUGUUCCAGUGUAAAUCUUUUAAGUGAAGUCUGGCCUUGAUUGACGUCAGUGGGAGCUUUGACAUUGAGUUCAGUGGGGACAGCAUUUCACCCCCUGUCAUCAGUGGAAUUACUCUUGGCUCGCAUCUUUGUUACUGUGCUCGCCUGGCUUUGAACGCUUGCUCGCAUGCCGCCUUGGCCCGGACAGUAGAGGGUGUACGCUCUCUGGCUUCAUGGGUUCCCCGAGGUAGGCUUUGGUUGUCCCUCUGGCCUUCCUCAAAUUCACCUGCCAUGUCUUUGGGUGUUCUGUCAGUGUGGGGCUCAGCCUCAAAGUUCCCCUCAGGGAUGACCACUCCCCUUGCGGGAUGUUCAUCAGGAUUAGAGCUUGAGAUUGCCUGGUCUUAACUCCUCCUGCUUCUGUAGUUGUAUUAGGAUACAAGCCCUGAUGCUCAGUCACCUACCUUGUACUCCUGCAUUGGUACAGCUAAACUGGAACCUGGGUCCAGUUUGCAGGUAUUUCAAUCAUGUACUGAGAUCCCUGUGUGGUGCAAAGUGUCUGCAGCACAGCUGUGGUUACCUUGAGCUCUUGCAAUCCCUCACUCUCUUUGGAAACUAGCUUAAUGUUAAACCUCCUUUCUGAGAAGAGAGAUGCCUCUAGUAGGCAAGGAAGAAUCCAGGCUGAAUGUAGGUAGGUGGCUAAGUCGAUAUGAGCUAAGCAAAUGUAAUAUUCAAGUCCCUUGAUGCUGUUUUAGAAUCAUAGAAUUAUUUUCUUCACCACACUGUACUUCAAAGUAAGAGCUAUGCCUUUGGGAGUGAGCAUUCAGCUCCAGAAGGGAGCAUCAGCAGUUAAUCCUAUUUCCCUAGGUGUAGGCCUCAGAAGCAGUCAAUGACUGCAAAACCAUGAUGACAAAUGCCAACUCUGCACCUAGCAUAAGCCUAAAUUACAACAGUAUGUGUUUAAGUUUGCAUUUUAGCUAUAAGCAGUAGCAAGAGAAAGUAGAGUCACAUCUGUUGGUCCAUGCCACUAGUAUUGGGCCAGGGUAGGUGCAAGUAAUUGCUUUUAGAACAACACUAGUAGUAACGGGCUGCAAUAACUUUUGUUUCAUCAUUUGAUGAGGAGAAUUGAAUCACGUGUAAUGUAUUUUUGUUGACUGAGCAUGGUUAGGUGAAAAUGUAUAACCCUGUGUUGCCAGCACUGAUCAUUUUCAAGGGGCCUCUGGCAAGCUACAAAGUGUGGCUAAAGCAGGAGGCCCCCAAGGCCUGUUUCUGAGUAACCUCAAAAUGAACCUCUGCAGAGGUGACCACGAGCUUGGUCACUGAAAGAAAGGAAGCAAUUAACACAUGCAGAUUAAACAGAGCACAAGGCCAGAAAGAAGGCAUUAUAAAAGGCAAGCCUUAAAUUAGAUAAGCAAAAGCUACAAUAUACUGAUAGUAUGUUUCAGUUAUAUUAAUGAUUAGUGUUACCAAAUAUAUUGAAUACAGUUUUGUAAUAGAUAUUUGUCUUAAAUUUCUUAAAGUUAUAGAAACAAAGUGGCCUUGUCAAUGGAGGCUAUAAAUAAGCUGGAAGGGAAACAGGAUGGUGUCAAGCAGCAUUCCACAAUGGUGAAGGGAAGGAGAUAAGAAAUCCUCCCUUCUAGUAGUAACCUUCACAAGAACAAAAAUUCAAACUAAUUGACGCCUUGCAAACCCAGAAGAGAACUGGUUCAGUUCAGCUACAGAGGUUUCAGUGAAACAAAGACAUUUGAAUAAAAUGAAUCACAGAACAAUUAUUAGAAUAACCCAACUAUAAGUAUAGGAUAUAGGCCAGAGCGAAGAAUAGGGAAACUCCCAGAGGGACAAACUUCCAGCUCCCUCUGUGCAAAAAUGAAGUUUAUUUCCUACUUAUGGGGAUUUUUUAGCAUCUUGUACCAUCUACACUUUUCCCAGAGCCUGACGAAGGGACUUUGAUCCCGAAAGCUUGCAGAAAAGGACAAUUUUCUUGCCAUUUUCCAGUUGGUCUAAUAAACGGUAUCAUUUUGGAACCAAGAGUUCUAGUUUUUUGUAUGUCUAGGGAAACUCCACACACUCAAGAAGACCUGUUGCCAGUCUGUGAGGCACCUUCUAAACACCCCCUUCCUCUUCUCUCCUUGCCCACCUCUAUCUGGUGAGAGUGUAUAUUAUGCUGUAUUAUUUUGUAAGGUAGCUAGAUGAGCAUUGGAAUAAGUGUUUGUUCUUGCAUUUUUGGGGUAUGAUAAUAAAAGAUCAGGCUGUA